CAGCUUUACCAAGAAAGAGGCAUUGAAGGCAGUAGAGAGUAGGAAAAGGAAGAAAGUCACCGUCACUCGGAUCUUUCCAGAUAAGGAAGAAGUAUCCAAACUCCGUGUCAAUCACACUUACCAUUUUACAUUUGGUUGCACAAUAAAUCAGGAAGACGAAAGAAUCCUUCACCAGAAGCUGAUCUGUCUAAAUGAAAGGCUAAGGCACUUAGCCGUCAGCUGGACUGGAGAAGAAAGGGACCACACCUAGAUGCGUUUCCUGGGCUUUCUAUGUAGAAAUAUUCAGCCAUACUCUCUUAGGGUCGUUUUAAAAUGCCCAACCGGUGGAUUUCUGAAAACUGUUAAACUAAUCAUGAAGAGCAGCAGGAUAAGCUUUAAUAUUCAUUUUGAAGUGGUGCAUUCAGUGGACCGGUAGAUAUUACUUUUCUUUCAUCUGUAAAUUUUAUUGAAAAUAAAUGUAA
rnacentral:sRNA from 1 species